GAUGAACGCUAGCGGGAGGCUUAACACAUGCAAGUCGAGGGGCAGCAUAGGGUAGCAAUACUCUGAUGGCGACCGGCAAACGGGUGAGUAACGCGUAUGCAACCUACCCUGUACAGGGGGAUAACCCGGAGAAAUUCGGACUAAUAUCCCGUAAUAAUAUCCGGAGGCAUCUUUGGAUAUUAAAGUUCCGACGGUACGGGAUGGGCAUGCGUAACAUUAGCUGGUUGGUAAGGUAACGGCUUACCAAGGCUAUGAUGUUAGGGGUCCUGAGAGGGUGGUCCCCCACACUGGUACUGAGACACGGACCAGACUCCUACGGGAGGCAGCAGUGAGGAAUAUUGGUCAAUGGGCGCAAGCCUGAACCAGCCAUCCCGCGUGCAGGAAGACGGCCCUAUGGGUUGUAAACUGCUUUUCCAGGGAGAGAAACUUACGCACGUGUUGCGUGACUGACGGUACCCUGGGAAUAAGCAUCGGCUAACUCCGUG
rnacentral:rRNA from 1 species